rnacentral:rRNA from 1 species
CGCCGCGUGGAUGAUGAAGUAUCUCGGUACGUAAAAUCCUUUCGACGGGGAAGAAACCCGCAAGGUUUGACGGUACCUGUAGAAGAAGCCCCGGCUAACUCCGUGCCAGCAGCCGCGGUAAUACGGGGGGGGCAAGCGUUGUUCGGAAUUACUGGGCGUAAAGGGNGCGUAGGCGGUCUGCUAAGUUGGAUGUGAAAACUCUGGGCUUAACCCAUAGCCUGCAUNCAAUACUGACNAGCUAGAGUUCUGGAGGGGAUAGCGGAAUUCCUGGUGUAGCGGUGAAAUGCGUAGAUAUCACNGAGGAACACCGGUGGCGAAGGCGGCUAUCUGGACAGAGUCUGACGCUGAGGCGCGAAAGCUAGGGGAGCAAACAGGAUUAGAUACCCUGGUAGUCCUANCCCUAAACGAUGGAUACUUGGUGUGACUGGCAUUGAAUCCAG